GACGAACGCUGGCGGCGUGCUUAACACAUGCAAGUCGAACGGAAAGGCCCUGCUUUUGUGGGGUGCUCGAGUGGCGAACGGGUGAGUAACACGUGAGUAACCUGCCCUUGACUUUGGGAUAACUUCAGGAAACUGGGGCUAAUACCGGAUAGGAGCUCCUGCUGCAUGGUGGGGGUUGGAAAGUUUCGGCGGUUGGGGAUGGACUCGCGGCUUAUCAGCUUGUUGGUGGGGUAGUGGCUUACCAAGGCUUUGACGGGUAGCCGGCCUGAGAGGGUGACCGGCCACAUUGGGACUGAGAUACGGCACAGACUCCGACGGGAGGCAGCAGUGGGGAAUAUGGCACAAUGGGCGGAAGCCUGAUGCAGCAACGCCGCGUGCGGGAUGACGGCCUUCGGGUUGUAAACCGCUUUCGCCUGUGACGAAGCGUGAGUGACGGUAAUGGGUAAAGAAGCACCGGCUAACUACGUG
rnacentral:rRNA from 1 species